rnacentral:misc_RNA from 1 species
GUUUAAUUUAUUUUCAAGUGAGGUUGAGCUUUUUGCGUUUGUUCUCGGAGAAAUGAGGCUUCUGGUUCGGGUAAUAGAGGCAAGAAAUUUGCCAGCAAUGGAUCUAAAUGGGUCAAGUGAUCCCUAUGUGAGAGUGCAGCUGGGAAAGCAGAAGUUCAAGACCAAAGUGGUAAAGAAGAACUUGAAUCCGAAUUGGGGAGAGGAAUUCAGUUUUAAGGUUGAGGACUUGAACGAGGAGCUUGUAUUCUCUGUGUUAGAUGAGGACAAGUACUUCAAUG